rnacentral:rRNA from 1 species
UACGGCUCAGUAACACGUGGACAACCUACCCUGAGGAGGGGGAUAACCCCGGAAAACUGGGGAUAAUACCCCAUAGAUUAGGGAGGCUGGAAUGCCCCCUAGUUCAAAGGUCCGCCGCCUCAGGAUGGGUCUGCGGCCGAUUAGGUUGUUGUUGGGGUAACGGCCCAACAAGCCUUUGAUCGGUACGGGUUGUGGGAGCAAGAGCCCGGAGAUGGAUUCUGAGACACGAAUCCAGGCCCUACGGGGCGCAGCAGGCGCGAAAACUUUACAAUGCGAGAAAUCGUGAUAAGGGAACCCCGAGUGCCCGUAAAUUCGGGCUGUCCGCCAGUGCAAAAAACUGGUGAAGAAAGAGCCGGGCAAGACCGGUGCCAGCCGCCGCGGUAAUACCGGCGGCUCGAGUGGUGGCCACUAUUACUGGGCUUAAAGCGUCCGUAGCUUGGUUGUUAAGUCUUCUGGGAAAUCCAUCGGCUCAACCGAUGGGCGUUCAGGAGAUACUGGCAACCUAGGGACCGGGAGAGGUGAGAGGUACUCCAGGGGUAGGAGUGAAAUCCUGUAAUCCUUGGGGGACCACCUGUGGCGAAGGCGUCUCACUAGAACGGCUCCGACAGUGAGGGACGAAAGCUGGGGGAGCAAACCGGAUUAGAUACCCGGGUAGUCCCAGCUGUAAACGAUGCGCGUUAGGUGUAUCGGUGACCACGAGUCACCGAGGUGCCGAAGGGAAACCGUGAAACGUGCCGCCUGGGAAGUACGGUCGCAAGGCUGAAACUUAAAGGAAUUGGCGGGGGAGCACCACAACAGGUGGAGCCUGCGGUUUAAUCGGACUCAACGCCGGGAAGCUCACCGGAUAAGACAGCUGAAUGAUAGCCGGGUUGAAGACUCUGCUUGACUAGCUGAGAGGAGGUGCAUGGCCGUCGUCAGUUCGUACUGUGAAGCAUCCUGUUAAGUC